AAUAUUUGUCAAUGGGGGAAACCCUGAACCAGCAAUGACGCGUGAGUGACGAAGGUUUUCGGAUUNUUUAGCUCUGUCUUUGGGGANGAUAAUGUCGGUACCCAAGUAGAUAGCCACGGCUAACCACGUUCCAGCAGCCGCGGUAAUACGUAGGUGGCAAGCGUUGUCCGGAAUUAUUGGGCGUAAAGGGCGAGUAGGAGGCCAGUUAUGUCAGAUGUGAAAAGCUACGGCUCAACCCUAACAUAGCGUUUGAAACUGAUUGGCUUGAGAGUAGGAGAGGGAAGUGGAAUUCCUAAUGUAGCGGUGAAAUGCGUAGAUAUUAGAAGGAACACCAGUGGCGAAAGCGACUUCCUGGCCUACAACUGACACUGAUGCGCGAAAACGUGGGGAGCAAAC
rnacentral:rRNA from 1 species